UAUGCACCAUUCUCUCCAGUACGAAAGGACCGAGAAAAUAAGACCUAUAUUCAAAACAAGUCUUUCUUUCCCCCGAAACUAUAUUAAACCAAAGGUACCCCCCCAACCCAAAAUCAGGGC
rnacentral:rRNA from 1 species